GAGUCAUUGGGACUCGACUAAACCUAAAGGCGCAAUGAAAGUGAAGGUUCGCCUCGCGCGAACCGAGGGAGGAUGGGUCCGUCCUCGGACGGCCGCCCCGCACUCCCGGGGCGUCUCGUUCUCAUCGCGAGAUGAGGCGCACCCAGAGCGUACACGCUGGGACCCGAAAGAUGGUGAACUAUGCCUGGUCAGGACGAAGUCAGGGGAAACCCUGAUGGAGGUCCGUAGCGAUUCUGACGUGCAAAUCGAUCGUCGGAACUGGGUAUAGGGGCGAAAGACUAAUCGAACCAUCUAGUAGCUGGUUCCCUCCGAAGUUUCCCUCAGGAUAGCUGGCGCUCGCCUUCGCGAGUCUCAUUCGGUAAAGCGAAUGAUUAGAGGCAUUGGGGUCGAAACGGCCUCAACCUAUUCUCAAACUUUAAAUGGGUGAGAUCUCCGGCUUGCUUAAAGCGUGAAGCCGCGAGACAUCGGAUCAGAGUGCCAAGUGGGCCACUUUUGGUAAGCAGAAC
rnacentral:rRNA from 1 species